CGCCGGCCGUAGAAGGCGGAGAGGACGGCUAUGGCAGUCCUGGGGGGGCAGCUGAUGGAGAGGGUGUCUCCCUGACAGGCGUCAGCCGUGUGGUUCCGCAGGAUCCUGUGCAGCAAACAUGUGACUUUUGCGGGUCACCUGAGUAUUUCCUACGGUCACGGAUGAGCGUCCCUCCCUGAAUCGCCAUCGUAGGGUGAUGGAGAGGUUUUUGCGUCUCAACGAUCCUAGGAGCUAAUUUGGGGCAGACAGGUCUUCCAAGGCAAACUGGUCCCAGCUCUGCGUAUCUGGCCUGCUUGGAGACCUUGGGUGGGAUGCUGGACGGUGCCCCCUCUGGGGACUCCAUUGUUCUAC